GAUGAACGCUAGCGGCAGGCUUAAUACAUGCAAGUCGAGGGGCAGCAGGACUGUAGCAAUACAGUUGCUGGCGACCGGCAAACGGGUGCGGAACACGUACGCAACCUUCCUUUAAGUGGGGAAUAGCCCAGGGAAACUUGGAUUAAUACCUCGUAACAUUAUGAGAUGGCAUCAUUUUAUAAUUAUAGCUCCGGCGCUUAAAGAUGGGCGUGCGACUGAUUAGGUAGUUGGCGGGGUAACGGCCCACCAAGCCUUCGAUCAGUAACUGGUGUGAGAGCACGACCAGUCACACGGGCACUGAGACACGGGCCCGACUCCUACGGGAGGCAGCAGUAAGGAAUAUUGGUCAAUGGACGCAAGUCUGAACCAGCCAUGCCGCGUGGAGGAUGAAGGUCCUCUGGAUUGUAAACUUCUUUUAUCUGGGAAGAAACCCAUAUUUUCCAAUGUGGUUGACGGUACCAGAUGAAUAAGCACCGGCUAACUCCGUGCCAGCCGCCGCGGUAACAC
rnacentral:rRNA from 1 species